rnacentral:lncRNA from 1 species
UCUGAUCUUAAGGCUCUAAGUUGGAACCAUUGUUUCAUACCUGAGCCAUUUUGGUCUAGAUUAGCAUUCGGGGACCCUCCCUUAUGGAGCUGUUCCAUAGGAUGUUGAAUCACGAUACUAGGGCGGACCUGUGCCUUAGAGACUAAAACUGAAGAUAGACUUAGUUAACUAUGUUAUAAACUCUUUUCCUGUUUAAGACAAUGUACUACCCUUGUUUAAUAAAUAAAAUGUAACUUUAAUU